CUAGUACGUUGGUGUGACUCGUCACCUUGUAAGAAUGGGGGAACCUGUUGGCAGACUGGCACCACCUAUCGAUGUGAAUGUCGGAGCAGCUGGACUGGCCUCUACUGUGAUGUGCCCAGUGUGUCCUGUGAAGUGGCAGCCAAACAACAAGGGCUGGACACAGAGCAGCUGUGUCGGAACAGUGGCAUCUGUAUUGAUGCCGGGAACACACACCAUUGUCGGUGCCAGGCUGGCUACACAGGCAGUUACUGUGAGGAGCAAGUGGACGAGUGUACCCCCAACCCCUGCCAGAACGGAGCGACCUGCACUGACUAUCUGGGCGGCUACUCCUGCAAGUGUGUUGCUGG